AUUGAACGCUGGCGGCAUGCCUAACACAUGCAAGUCGAACGGCAGCACGGCAGUAGCAAUACUGUGGGUGGCGAGUGGCGGACGGGUGAGGAAUACGUCGGAAUCUGCCCAGUCGUGGGGGAUAACUAGCCGAAAGGUUAGCUAAUACCGCAUACGACCGAGAGGUGAAAGCGGGGGACCGCAAGGCCGCGCGCGCUUGGAUGAGCCCAAGUCGGAUUAGCUAGUUGGUGGGGUAAAGGCCUACCAAGGCGACGAUCCGUAGCUGGUCUGAGAGGAUGAUCAGCCACACUGGAACUGAGACACGGUCCAGACUCCUACGGGAGGCAGCAGUGGGGAAUAUUGGACAAUGGGCGCAAGCCUGAUCCAGCAAUGCCGCGUGUGUGAAGAAGGCCUUCGGGUUGUAAAGCUCUUUUAUCAGGAACGAAAAGCGAUGGAUUAAUACUCUGUCGUGCUGACGGUACCUGAGGAAUAAGCACCGGCUAACUUCGUGCCAGCCGCCGCCGUAACAC
rnacentral:rRNA from 1 species